AGCAGCCGCGGUAAUUCCAGCUCCAAUAGCGUAUAUUAAAGUUGUUGCAGUUAAAAAGCUCGUAGUUGAAUUUCGGGGUCAGUAGGUUGGUCAUGCCACUGGUAUGUACUGGUCUCACUGAUUCCUCCUUCCUGAUGAGCCGUAAUGCCAUUAAUUUGGUGUUGCGAGGAAUCUGGACUGUUACUUUGAAAAAAUUAGAGUGUUUAAAGCAGGCUAACGCUUGAAUAUAUUAGCAUGGAAUAAUGAAAUAGGACGUUCGAUCUUAUUUUGUUGGUUUCUAAGAUUGACGUAAUGAUUAAUAGGGAUAGUUGGGGGCAUUAGUAUUCAAUUGUCAGAGGUGAAAUUCUUGGAUUUAUUGAAGACUAACUACUGCGAAAGCAUUUGCCAAGGAUGUUUUCAUUAAUCAAGAACGAAAGUUAGGGGAUCGAAGACGAUCAGAUACCGUCGUAGUCUUAACCAUAAACUAUGCCGACUAGGGAUCGGAUGAUGUUAAUUUUUAAUGACUCAUUC
rnacentral:rRNA from 1 species